rnacentral:rRNA from 1 species
UACGGAGGAUGCAAGCGUUAUCCGGAUUUAUUGGGCGUAAAGCGUUCGCAGGUGGCUAUACAAGUCUGUUGUUAAAGCGUGGGGCUUAACUCCAUACAGGCAGUGGAAACUGUAAAGCUAGAGUCUGGUAGGGGUCACGGGAAUUCCCAGUGUAGCGGUAAAAUGCGUAGAUAUUGGGAAGAACACCAGCGGCGAAAGCGCGUGACUGGGCCGGAACUGACACUCAUGGACGAAAGCUAGGGGAGCGAAAGGG